rnacentral:lncRNA from 1 species
AAUGAGCUCUUGCUGUUCAUUUCGCAGCAUUUGUAGCCUCCUCUCGAGGCCCCUUAUUCUCUGAUCUGUCUUGCGCAUGCGGUCUUCUACGACGGCAGGGUUCGCCGGGUGCAGGUGUAUCCAAAAGGCUCUUAAGAGAAACCGGUGGUCGCGCAGGUCGUUCUUGACGUGCUGUAUCUCCUCUCCAACUUGAGCGAGCCUUUCUGGGAUAUCCAUAGUUCAUCAACCGUGCUAAUAAAAAAAGUCUUUGAUUUUCUUUUAGAGCACGAAGGCUUAUCGAGCCUGUAUUUAUAGAGUGUAGAGUAAUCCCACCAUGCGGCACGAAUUUGAUGGCAGGCCCAAUCCUUACUGGUUUUCUGCAGUUGAGUACUAUCAUGCAUGUGUGAUGAACAAACUAACUACCUUAUGAAGCAACAUACCCCCCAAUCACGUUGCCUGUAUGAACAAACUAACUUUACACAACCAGCUUCAGCAUUUCCGCCUAAUUAGUCAGCUAACUAAGAAUCACAGGAAUUUUCCCUGGAAUCCUGAUUUCCCUUCUGAGAUUGGGUUUCCUUGCCUUACACUGGGCUGGAUCGAGAUCUUGGUCCAUGGGCCCAUUCUCACAAUUAGUCUUCUUGGACUCUAUUUCCACCCCUGCUAGCAUAAAAACAAGAGCUUUUCGGGCAGCGAGUCACAUGUUGGAAUGUAUUGAUGUGAAAUUUUCUUUUUGAGAUUGGAUUAGUGAUUAGUCACACCUACCGUAACCUCUAUUGGUCAGAUUAAGCAGCUGACUUCGCUCGAAAGAUGAGACUAGGAAAGUUGCAUGCCCAUGUGUCUCUUGUACAUCCGAAGCUUCUUCAAAGCCCCUCCCAAACCACUUCUCGGAGGUGAACACCGACGGAGGACUUCACCUU